rnacentral:rRNA from 1 species
UUCCUACGGGAGGCAGCAGUGGGGAAUAUUGCACAAUGGGGGAAACCCUGAUGCAGCGACGCCGCGUGAAGGAUGAAGUAUUUCGGUAUGUAAACUUCUAUCAGCAGGGAAGAAAAUGACGGUACCUGACUAAGAAGCCCCGGCUAAAUACGUGCCAGCAGCCGCGGUAAUACGUAGGGGGCAAGCGUUAUCCGGAUUUACUGGGUGUAAAGGGAGCGUAGACGGCGCGGCAAGUCUGAAGUGAAAGGCAGGGGCUUAACCCCUGAACUGCUUUGGAAACUGCCAUGCUAGAGUGCUGGAGAGGG